CUUUUACAAGCAAACCCCUUAUAAGAUCCCUUGCUGCAAAACUUACCACUGGUGAUUCUGGAAAUCGAAGAGGCAGGCCAACAACAUUGAAUAGUGUGGCCCGAUUCCCAGAUCCCUUAAAAGGAGUUUUACCAAAUAAGAGCUCAUAAAGAAAGAUCCCAAAAGUCCACCAAUCUACAGCACUUCCAUGACCUUCACCCUUAAUAAUUUCAGGUGCCAAAUACUCAUGGGUCCCAACAAAUGACAUAGAUCUAGCAUCAGUUGGCUC
rnacentral:misc_RNA from 1 species